rfam:Halorubrum sp. AJ67, WGS project CBVY01000000 data, contig: SCAFFOLD00010
GGGCUCAUAGCUCAGCGGUAGAGUGCCUCCCUUGCAAGGAGGAUGCCCUGGGUUCGAAUCCCAGUGAGUCCA